rnacentral:tRNA from 1 species
GGAAGGUUGGCAGAGCGGUAAUGCAGCGGAUUGCUAAUCCGUGACGGGGUUAAAUCCGUCCAGAGGUUCGAGUCCUCUACCUUCCGCCA